rnacentral:rRNA from 1 species
ACAAGGUUUCCGUAGGUGAACCUGCGGAAGGAUCAUUACCUUUCAAUGCAGCAGAAUUGGGAUGGUUGAGUUUCUCGCCUCUCCAUUCUGCCUGUAUUCUACCCUUGUUUGCCAUAUACUAUUAUUUCCUCGGCAGGCUUGCUUGCCGAGUGAAACCAAUUAUAACCUAUUUAAUUUUCAAUCAGCGUCUGAAAAAAAUUAAUAAUUACAACUUUCAACAACGGAUCUCUUGGUUCUGGCAUCGAUGAAGAACGCAGCGAAAUGCGAUAAGUAGUGUGAAUUGCAGAAUUCAGUGAAUCAUCGAAUCUUUGAACGCACAUUGCGCCCCUUGGUAUUCCAUGGGGCAUGCCUGUUCGAGCGUCAUUUGUACCUUCAAGCUUUGCUUGGUGUUGGGUGUUUGUCCUGAGGGACUCGCCUUAAAGUAAUUGGCAGCCAGUGUUUGGUUUUGAAGCGCAGCACAAGUCGCGAUUCAAGGCUAUACGCCAGCUUCCACAAGCCUUUUUCACUUUUGACCUCGGAUCAGGUAGGGAUACCCGCUGAACUUAAGCAUAUCA